UACGUAGGGACCGAGCGUUGUCCGGAUUCAUUGGGCGUAAAGAGCUCGUAGGCGGCUGCUCAAGUCGAAUGUGAAAACUCGAGGCUCAACCUCGAGCCUGCAUUCGAUACUGGGCGGCUAGAGUCUGGUAGGGGGAUCUGGAAUUCCUGGUGUAGCGGUGGAAUGCGCAGAUAUCAGGAGGAACACCGGUGGCGAAGGCGGGAUCCUGGGCCAGUACUGACGCUGAGGUGCGAAAGCGUGGGAGCGAACGAGG
rnacentral:rRNA from 1 species